UUUUUUCAAUGUCUCUAACUUUUGCCUGGAUCGCCCUUUCGGGUUUUCAAUCCACCGAGACGCUCCUUUUUGCCUAAGUCGCCCUUUGGGGUGUUCGACUUAGCGAGCUUUUGCUUUUUGUUUUUUGUAGGCGAAGUAUUUCUUGACUGCAUCGGAAUUCGCAGGACGAGUGAACUUCUUCAUCCAUUGUUGUAAGUGUCAGAACACUGCCUGAAAAGGCUCUCUGGACAACAUAUGGACAUUCAUAGCUUGGGGAUUUCACUUGCCCCAGGAAUCAGGCACGAAAGACAAGACUUUCUUGAGCACAAGGUCACACGAGGCUUGACCUUCUCUUUGAAUGCUUUUUCAUUCUCUGCUGAUGUGACUGACCAUGACACAUGGCAGUUGAUCUCUUCCUUUCGAUCGAUUUCAGCAUCAGCCAACUUGGGAUUUUGAGGGUGCUAUCUUUCUUUUGUUUUGUUUUUUUUUUUUUGAUAAAUGCCCCAGUUGGCAUGUUCUGCUGAUUCUCGAGAUGCAGCUGAGUGUGAUUUUCUUUUUGCUCAAGAAGUCGGGAAAUACCGUCAGGAAUCCCUUCAACAUCAUC
rnacentral:lncRNA from 1 species